AGAGUUUGAUCCUGGCUCAGAAUGAACGUUGGCGGCGUGGAUUAGGCAUGCAAGUCGCGCGAUAAAUUACCUUCGGGUGAUGGAAAGCGGCGAAAGGGAGAGUAACACGCGGGUACCUACCCUCAGGACCGGGAUAGCUGCGGGAAACUGCAAUUAAUACCGGAUAAUGUCUCCGGACCAAAGGUGUGAUUCCGCCGGAGGAGCGGCCUGCGGGCUAUCAGCUAGUUGGUAAGGUAAUGGCUUACCAAGGCAAUGACGGCUAGGGGGGGUGAGAGCCUGUUCCCCACCGAUGGUACUGAGACACGGACCAUACACCUACGGGUGGCUGCAGUCGAGAAUCUUCCGCAAUGGGCGAAAGCCUGACGGAGCGACGCCGCGUGCGGGAUGAAGGCCUUCGGGUUGUAAACCGCUGUCAGUGGGGAGGAAAUGCACGGGGGUUCUCCCUCGUGUUUGACCGAUCCGCAGAGGAAGCACCGGCUAACUACGUGCCAGCAGCCGCGGUAAUACGUAGGGUGCGAGCGUUAAUCGGAAUUACUGGGCGUAAAGGGUGCGCAGGCGGCUUUGUAAGUCAGAUGUGAAAUCCCCGGGCUUAACCUGGGAAUUGCGUUUGAAACUACAAGGCUAGAGUGUGGCAGAGGGAGGUGGAAUUCCAUGUGUAGCAGUGAAAUGCGUAGAGAUAUGGAAGAACAUCGAUGGCGAAGGCAGCCUCCUGGGUUAACACUGACGCUCAUGCACGAAAGCGUGGGGAGCAAACAGGAUUAGAUACCCUGGUAGUCCACGCCCUAAACGAUGUCAACUGGUUGUUGGGCCUUAUUAGGUUUGGUAACGAAGCUAACGCGUGAAGUUGACCGCCUGGGGAGUACGGUCGCAAGAUUAAAACUCAAAGGAAUUGACGGGGACCCGCACAAGCGGUGGAUUAUGUGGAUUAAUUCGAUGCAACGCGAAAAACCUUACCUACCCUUGACAUGUACCGAAGCCCGCCGAGAAGCGGGUGUGCCCGAAAGGGAGCGGUAACACAGGUGCUGCAUGGCUGUCGUCAGCUCGUGUCGUGAGAUGUUGGGUUAAGUCCCGCAACGAGCGCAACCCUUGUCAUUAAUUGCCAUCAUUUAGUUGGGCACUUUAAUGAGACUGCCGGUGACAAACCGGAGGAAGGUGGGGAUGACGUCAAGUCCUCAUGGCCCUUAUGGGUAGGGCUUCACACGUAAUACAAUGGCGCGUACAGAGGGUUGCCAACCCGCGAGGGGGAGCUAAUCUCAGAAAGCGCGUCGUAGUCCGGAUCGGAGUCUGCAACUCGACUCCGUGAAGUCGGAAUCGCUAGUAAUCGCGGAUCAGCAUGUCGCGGUGAAUACGUUCCCGGGUCUUGUACACACCGCCCGUCACACCAUGGGAGUGGGUUCCACCAGAAGCAGGUAGUCUAACCGUAAGGAGGGCGCUUGCCACGGUGAGAUUCAUGACUGGGGUGAAGUCGUAACAAGGUAACC
rnacentral:rRNA from 1 species